rnacentral:snRNA from 1 species
ACCCUUUCUCGGCCUUUUGGCUAAGAUCAAGUGUCGUAUCUGUUCUUAUCAGUUUAAUAUCUGACACGUCCUCUAUCUGAGGACAACAUAUUAAAUGUAUUUUUGCAAGUAGUUGGACUAGGAGCUUGCUCUAUCAACCCCACGCAUCAUCCUGGUAUUGCAGUACUUCCAGGAAUGGUGCAGCCACU